rnacentral:tRNA from 1 species
ACCUGGCUGGCUCAGUGGAAGAGCAUGGGACUCUUGAUCUCAGGGUUGUGGGUUCAAGCUCCGUGUUGGGUA